rnacentral:rRNA from 1 species
AGAAAGCCCCGGCUAACUACGUGCCAGCAGCCGCGGUAAUACGUAGGGGGCGAGCGUUACCCGGAAUCACUGGGCGUAAAGGGAGCGUAGGUGGCCUAACAUGUCAACUGUGAAAACCCGGAGCUCAACUCCGGACUUGCAGUUGAAACUGGUAGGCUUGAGGACGGUAGAGGAAGACGGAACUGCCAGUGUAGGGGUAAAAUCCUUAGAUAUUGGCAGGAACGCCGGUGACGAAGGUGGUUUUCUGGGCCGGUUCUGACACUGAUGCUCGAAAGCCAGGGGAGCGAACGGGAUUAGAUACCCCGGUAGUCCUGGCCCUAAACGAUGUUCACUAGGUGUGGGGAGCGGAAAGCUCUCCGUGCUAAAGCUAACGCGAUAAGUGAACCGCCUGGGGAGUACGCCCGCAAGGGUGAAACUCAAAGGAAUUGACGGGGACCCGCACAAGCGGUGGAGCGUGUGGUUUAAUUCGAUGCUAAGCGAAGGACCUUACCAAGGUUUGACAUGCUAAUGGUAGUGAAUUGAAAGAGGAACGACCACACUAUGUGUGGAGUUAGCACAGGUGGUGCACGGCCGUCGUCAGCUCGUGUCGUGAGGUGUUGGGUUAAGUCCCGCAACGAGCGCAACCCCUGCUCUUAGUUACCAGCGGUAAGGCCGGGUACUCUAGGAGGACCGCCGCCGACGAGGCGGAGGAAGGGGGGGAUGAAGUCAGGUAUCGUGCCCCUUAUAUCUUGGGCGACACACGCGCUACAAUGGGUUGGACAGAAGGGACCAAGACAGCGAUGUGGAGGAAAUCCUCAAACCAACCCCCAGUUCAGAUUGCAGGCUGAAACCCGCCUGCAUGAAGCCGGAAUCGCUAGUAAUCGCAGAUCAGCCAAGCUGCGGUGAAUACGUUCCCGGGUCUUGUACACACCGCCCGUCAAGCCACCCGAGUUGGUAACACCUGAAGAUGAGUAUCCUAACCGAAAGGAGGGAGCUUGUUUAGGGUGGGAUUGGCAAGGGGGGCUAAGUCGUAACAAGGUAGCCCUACCGGAAGGUGGGGCUG